GACGAACGUUGGCGGCGUGCUUAAUACAUGCAAGUCAACUGAAGCAGUGGUAGCAAUAUCGCUGUGGAGGUGGCGCACGGGUGAGUAACACGUAGGUAAUCUGCCUUCAGGUCUGGCAUAACUCCGGGAAACCGGGGCUAAUAGCAGAUGAUGCAGCGGCUCGACAUCGAGACAGUUGUUAAAGCUAUGGCGCCUGAAGAUGAGCCUGCGUCUGAUUAGCUAGUUGGCGGGGUAACGGCCCACCAAGGCAACGAUCAGUAGCUGGUCUGAGAGGAUGAUCAGCCACACUGGAACUGAGACACGGUCCAGACUCCUACGGGAGGCGGCAGUAAGGAAUAUUGCUCAAUGGGAGAAAUCCUGAAGCAGCAACGCCGCGUGAGGGACGAAGGGCUUUUGCUUGUAAACCUCUGUAGUGAGAGAAAAAAAUCCCAAUCUUUGGGACAUGAUGGUAUCUCAAAAGUAAGCCCCGGCUAACUACGUG
rnacentral:rRNA from 1 species